rnacentral:tRNA from 1 species
GCGGGUGUAGUUCAAUGGUAGAAUUUCAGCCUUCCAAGCUGAUCGCGUGGGUUCGAUUCCCAUCACCCGCUCCA